CCCUUAGAUGUUCUGGGCCGCACGCGCGCUACACUGACGAAUGCAACGAGCUUAUAACCUUGGCCGAAAGGUUUGGGUAAUCUCCAAAUUUCGUCGUGAUGGGGAUAGAUUAUUGCAAUUAUUAAUCUUCAACGAGGAAUGCCUAGUAAGCGCAAGUCAUCAGCUUGCGUUGGUUACGUCCCUGCCCUUUGUACACACCGCCCGUCGCUCCUACCGAUUGAAUGGUCCGGUGAAGCGUUCGGACCGUGGCCUUUGGACGGUUCGCCGUCUGUUGGCUGCGGGAAGUUCGUUAAACCUUAUCAUUUAGAGGAAGGAGAAGUCGUAACA
rnacentral:rRNA from 1 species